rnacentral:tRNA from 2 species
GCCCAGGUGGCGAAAUUGGUAGACGCGCCAGGUUCAGGUCCUGGUGGUGGCAACACUGUGGGGGUUCGAGUCCCUUCCUGGGCACCA